rnacentral:miRNA from 1 species
AAAGUGUUAUCCCCAUCCACUU